rnacentral:tRNA from 2 species
GUUUUAAUAAUUUAAAUAAAAAUACUGGUCUUGUAAAUCAGAAAUAAGAAAAAUCUUUUAAAACU